AAGCCUGACGGAGCAACGCCGCGUGAGCGAAGAAGGCCUUCGGGUCGUAAAGCUCUGUUGUUAGGGAAGAACAAGUACGAGAGUAACUGCUCGUACCUUGACGGUACCUAACCAGAAAGCCACGGCUAACUACGUGCCAGCAGCCGCGGUAAUA
rnacentral:rRNA from 1 species